AGCUCCAAUAGCGUAUACUAAAUUUGUUGCAGUUAAAAAGCUCGUAGUUGGAUUUCUGAGCGGUGUGAUGCUGUGGGUCUUUGACCUGUCUAAAUCACGCUGCUCAUCCUGGGAAGUCGCGGUUUGGGCAUUUAGUUGUUCAUACUGGCAAUUCCCUCGUUUACUUUGAGAAAAUUAGAGUGUUCAAAGCAGGCUUACGCUUGAAUACAUUAGCAUGGAAUAAUAUUAUAGGACUUUGGUCUUAUUUUGUUGGUUUCUAGGACCGAAGUAAUGAUUGAUAGGGACGGUUGGGGGCAUCAGUAUUUCAAAGCGAGAGGUGAAAUUCUUGGACCUUUGGAAGACUAACAACUGCGAAAGCAUUUGCCUAGGACGUUCUCU
rnacentral:rRNA from 1 species